GAAAUGCGAUACGCAAUGCGAAUUGCAGAACCGUGAGUCAUCAGAUUUUUGAACGCAAGUGGCGAUAGCUAUGGCUAUCAUGUUUGUUUCAGUGCAUCCGGUUAAUUACAUCAAAGAAUUUAAUGUGAUUGAAGAAAUUCUCUCACCAAAUAUGAGGUAGCGUCAGCAAAGACCUUAAACGAAACAGUCACUAAUCGGUGAUACUCGUCUAAAAGUCGGCGCUGGUGAAUCGUUACCUUAAAAGAAUUUAUCCAUCUUUGAUGCCUGAAAUAAGCAAGAUUACCCGCUGAACUUAA
rnacentral:misc_RNA from 1 species